CUUCGGUGAAGAUAAGAUGACGAGUCGGAAUAGGACAGAUCCUGCUUCUGUCGGUCACUGGUUCAGGUCCACGUUCUGUGGGUUUCUACCAGUUCUUCAGAGUGGGUCGUCCUCUUCAUUUGAAGACACUGAGGCAUUUGUCUGAGAAGG
ensembl:snoRNA SNORD15 Small nucleolar RNA SNORD15